AUUGAACGCUGGCGGCAGGCCUAACACAUGCAAGUCGAACGAGUGGCGGACGGGUGAGUAAUGUCUGGGAAACUGCCUUAUGGAGGGGGAUAACUACUGGAAACGGUAGCUAAUACCGCAUCCCAUCAGAUGUUCCCAGAUGGGGUUAGCGUGUUGUGGGGGUAACGGCGAACCAAGGCGACGAUCCCGAGCUGGUCUGAGAGGAUGACCAGCCACACUGGAACGGAGACACGGUCCAGACUCCUACGGGAGGCAGCAGUGGGGAAUAUUGCACAAUGGGCGCAAGCCUGAUGCAGCCAUGCCGCGUGUAUGAAGAAGGCAUUCGGGUUGUAAAGUACUUUCAGCGGGGAGGCGUUAACCGCAGAAGAAGCACCGGCUAACUCCGUGCCAGCAGCCGCGGUAAUAC
rnacentral:rRNA from 1 species